rnacentral:rRNA from 1 species
GACGAACGCUGGCGGCGUGCUUAACACAUGCAAGUCGAACGAUGAAGCUGGAGCUUGCUCCGGUGGAUUAGUGGCGAACGGGUGAGUAACACGUGAGAAAUCUGCCCUUCACUCUGGGAUAACUGCGGGAAGCUGUAGCUAAUACCGGAUACUUUCCCUGGUGGGCAUCCACUAGGGAAGAAAGAAUUUCGGUGAAGGAUGAUCUCGCGGCCUAUCAGCUAGUUGGUGAGGUAAUGGCUCACCAAGGCGACGACGGGUAGCCGGCCUGGGAGGGUGACUGGCCACACUGGGACUGAGACACGGCCCAGACUCCUACGGGAGGCAGCAGUGGGGAAUAUUGCACAAUGGGCGAAAGCCUGAUGCAGCAACGCCGCGUGAGGGAUGAAGGCCUUCGGGUUGUAAACCUCUUUUAGCAGGGAAGAAGCGAAAGUGACGGUACCUGCAGAAAAAGCACCGGCUAACUACGUGCCAGCCGCCGCGGUAA